rnacentral:lncRNA from 1 species
AUCAAAUGGCUUCUCUCGUGGAUGUAAGUGAUUUGUCGAACCACGUUAAAUAUUGUGUCGGUGUGCUUAGCCUCUAAUUAUGGGCAACUAUCAGAACAUCACCAGUUGAAAUUCCCAACAGUCGAAUGAUGCUAUAAAGUUUUGCACUCUUGAUCAUAAUCAGGCUCUGGUUUCCUUACCAACAGACCCACGCCUUGAUGGUUAGAUUACAAGAAUCUAGUGGCCAUAUCUGGCCGUGUUCCAGCAUCUGCAGCAAGAUAGGUUUAUCAUCCAAUAGAAGGUGCUACUCUAUAGCUCUUCAUAAUGCUUUCUUAGAACCUCAAAGUAACUC